GAUUAAGAACGUAGCGAACUGCGAUAAGUAAUGUGAAUUGCAGAAUUCAGUGAAUCAUCGAGUCUUUGAACGCACAUUGCGCCCCCUGGCAUUCCGGGGGGCAUGCCUGUCCGAGCGUCAUUGCUGCCCUUCAAGCCCGGCUUGUGUGUUGGGUCGUCGUCCCCCCCGGGGGACGGGCCCGAAAGGCAGCGGCGGCACCGCGUCCGGUCCUCGAGCGUAUGGGGCUUUGUCACCCGCUCGAUUAGGGCCGGCCGGGCGCCAGCCGGCGUCUCCAACCUUCUAUUUUACCAGGUUGACCUCGGAUCAGGUAGGGAUACCCGCUGAACUUAAGCAUAUCAAUAAGCGGAGGA
rnacentral:misc_RNA from 1 species